UACGUAGGGGGCAAGCGUUAUCCGGAAUUACUGGGUGUAAAGGGAGCGUAGACGGUAAUGUAAGUCUGGAGUGAAAGGCGGGGGCCCAACCCCCGGACUGCUCUGGAAACUAUGUUACUAGAGUGCAGGAGAGGUAAGCGGAAUUCCUAGUGUAGCGGUGAAAUGCGUAGAUAUUAGGAGGAACACCAGUGGCGAAGGCGGCUUACUGGACUGUAACUGACAUUGAGGCUCGAAAGCGUGGGGAGCAAACAGG
rnacentral:rRNA from 1 species